GGGUUGUGAGGUUAAGCGACUAAGCGUACACGGUGGAUGCCCUGGCAGUCAGAGGCGAUGAAGGGCGUGCUAAUCUGCGAUAAGCGCCGGUAAGGUGAUAUGAACCGUUAUAACCGGCGAUACCCGAAUGGGGAAACCCAGUGUGACUCGUCACACUAUCAUUAACUGAAUCCAUAGGUUAAUGAGGCGAACCGGGGGAACUGAAACAUCUAAGUACCCCGAGGAAAAGAAAUCAACCGAGAUUCCCCCAGUAGCGGCGAGCGAACGGGGAGGAGCCCAGAGCCUGAAUCAGCAUGUGUGUUAGUGGAAGCGUCUGGAAAGGCGCGCGAUACAGGGUGACAGCCCCGUACACAAAAGCGCAUGUGCUGUGAGCUCGAUGAGUAGGGCGGGACACGUGGUAUCCUGUCUGAAUAUGGGGGGACCAUCCUCCAAGGCUAAAUACUCCUGACUGACCGAUAGUGAACCAGUACCGUGAGGGAAAGGCGAAAAGAACCCCGGCGAGGGGAGUGAAAAAGAACCUGAAACCGUGUACGUACAAGCAGUGGGAGCACCCUUUGGGUGUGACUGCGUACCUUUUGUAUAAUGGGUCAGCGACUUAUAUUCUGUAGCAAGGUUAACCGAAUAGGGGAGCCGGAGGGAAACCGAGUCUUAAUUGGGCGUUAAGUUGCAGGGUAUAGACCCGAAACCCGGUGAUCUAGCCAUGGGCAGGUUGAAGGUUGGGUAACACUAACUGGAGGACCGAACCGACUAAUGUUGAAAAAUUAGCGGAUGACCUGUGGCUGGGGGUGAAAGGCCAAUCAAACCGGGAGAUAGCUGGUUCUCCCCGAAAGCUAUUUAGGUAGCGCCUCGUGAAUUCAUCUCCGGGGGUAGAGCACUGUUUCGGCUAGGGGGCCAUCCCGGCUUACCAACCCGAUGCAAACUGCGAAUACCGGAGAAUGUUAUCACGGGAGACACACGGCGGGUGCUAACGUCCGUCGUGAAGAGGGAAACAACCCAGACCGCCAGCUAAGGUCCCAAAGUCAUGGUUAAGUGGGAAACGAUGUGGGAAGGCCCAGACAGCCAGGAUGUUGGCUUAGAAGCAGCCAUCAUUUAAAGAAAGCGUAAUAGCUCACUGGUCGAGUCGGCCUGCGCGGAAGAUGUAACGGGGCUAAACCAUGCACCGAAGCUGCGGCAGCGACGCUUAUGCGUUGUUGGGUAGGGGAGCGUUCUGUAAGCCUGCGAAGGUGGCCUGUGAGGGUUGCUGGAGGUAUCAGAAGUGCGAAUGCUGACAUAAGUAACGAUAAAGCGGGUGAAAAGCCCGCUCGCCGGAAGACCAAGGGUUCCUGUCCAACGUUAAUCGGGGCAGGGUGAGUCGACCCCUAAGGCGAGGCCGAAAGGCGUAGUCGAUGGGAAACGGGUUAAUAUUCCCGUACUUGGUGUUACUGCGAAGGGGGGACGGAGAAGGCUAUGUUGGCCGGGCGACGGUUGUCCCGGUUUAAGCGUGUAGGCUGGUUUUCCAGGCAAAUCCGGAAAAUCAAGGCUGAGGCGUGAUGACGAGGCACUACGGUGCUGAAGCAACAAAUGCCCUGCUUCCAGGAAAAGCCUCUAAGCAUCAGGUAACAUCAAAUCGUACCCCAAACCGACACAGGUGGUCAGGUAGAGAAUACCAAGGCGCUUGAGAGAACUCGGGUGAAGGAACUAGGCAAAAUGGUGCCGUAACUUCGGGAGAAGGCACGCUGACACGUAGGUGAAGUGAUUUACUCACGGAGCUGAAGUCAGUCGAAGAUACCAGCUGGCUGCAACUGUUUAUUAAAAACACAGCACUGUGCAAACACGAAAGUGGACGUAUACGGUGUGACGCCUGCCCGGUGCCGGAAGGUUAAUUGAUGGGGUCAGCGCAAGCGAAGCUCCUGAUCGAAGCCCCGGUAAACGGCGGCCGUAACUAUAACGGUCCUAAGGUAGCGAAAUUCCUUGUCGGGUAAGUUCCGACCUGCACGAAUGGCGUAAUGAUGGCCAGGCUGUCUCCACCCGAGACUCAGUGAAAUUGAACUCGCUGUGAAGAUGCAGUGUACCCGCGGCAAGACGGAAAGACCCCGUGAACCUUUACUAUAGCUUGACACUGAACAUUGAGCCUUGAUGUGUAG
rnacentral:rRNA from 1 species